AGGCUGCCGCAGGAUCCACCAUAGCAGCGAGAGAAGGAAGAAAUUAAUUAGAUUGAAGUUAUUUAUUCAGAAUUUAUUCCAUCGAAAGGAGAAAUAGCAAAAGAGAGCCUAUUCAAGGAUAGUGAAGCAUUCAGGGACGGUAGAAGGAUAGAAACUAUCAUGGUGUUUUCUCUGUUUUAUAUUGGAGCUGAAGUGUUUGAUUCACCUUAUGUUCAAUUAUACUUGACGGCCAAAACUGAAAUUAUUGAUCAAAUUCAGGAUCCCUGGGAAUGGUCUUCUUUCUAUAGCAGACUCUCAGAUAUCUACUUAUUGCAGUCUGUUGUGAUUCUGUUCUCGACACUUUUGUAUCUCAGAUGCUUCGUGACAAUUCUGCAGAAUAAAGG